rnacentral:piRNA from 1 species
UGUAUAUGCCUGGUGAGAGUUGUGACGAC